GUGGAUUAGAUACCCUGGUAGUCCACGCCGUAAACGAUGGAUACUAGCUGUUUGGUAGCAAUACUGAGUGGCUAAGCGAAAGUGAUAAGUAUCCCACCUGGGGAGUACGAACGCAAGUUUGAAACUCAAAGGAAUUGACGGGGGCCCGCACAAGCGGUGGAGCAUGUGGUUUAAUUCGAUGAUACGCGAGGAACCUUACCAGGGCUUAAAUGUAGUGGGACAGGCUUGGAAACAGGCCCUUCUUCGGACUCAUUACAAGGUGCUGCACGGCUGUCGCCAGCU
rnacentral:rRNA from 1 species